rnacentral:lncRNA from 1 species
AAGAUUGAAAAAGAAACCACUAAGAAAAAGUAAGGGUUAAAUCCAUCAAAUGGAAUCCUGGAGCCACCUCUUGAUGCUAAUAUUCUGGCCAAGAUCAGUAACAAAGAUAUAAUGUAAUCUGGUUUAACUAACCCUAAAGCUAGCUCAUCUCUGUGCAAUCUCAUAUAGGGCCCUAUUCAGGUGUGUCACAAUUAUGGUAGUAGCUAUAUGUGUCAUCUUUCUUCAAUUGUGUCUGUAAUGGUUUCAUGAACUGGAGUUCCAGGUUCUGUUGUAGAGAACCCUUCAGCAGCAGGGGAUACUCCUAGUCCGUCGGAAAUUCUGAUUUCUGGGAUUUGCGAAGGAAGGUCAGGCAAUAUCUCAGGAGAAGCUUCACUUGCUGCGAGCAGUGUAGGUGCAUUGCUUCCAUUGCUUUCAGAUGGCUCUUCUGACAUAGAAUUAGAGCUGUCUUUCUCUUCAUCAAAGACUUUUGCAAUUGCAGUAAGCUUUUGCCAUAUUGAAUCAUCAGUGGCUAAGAUUUCUCUAUUCUGAUAAAGGAGGAUGAGGAAGAAUAGGAGAAGAGCGGAGCCUGCUGAAACACCAGCUAUGAGGAAAAGUCCCUUAAAACUAUCUAACGUGAGGCUAUCAGAUGUUAUUGCCGUUUCAUCUUUCUGUGGACAAUCUGUUUCAUUCCCAAACCAUUUCUGUAUUAUGUUAUUCAUAAACUCUCCCUCCAUCACCUUCAAGACUGCUCUUGAGACGUCAGGUACCAAAGGAGAUCCUUUUGGAAAUGCCUGCAAUAAAAGAUUAGAUGAUUGAGUAAACAACAAAUCAUUCUAAAUAUAUAUGUUAACAGUGUCUGAAACAUCAGUGGAGUGUACAAUCUUACAAACCCAAAGCCGGCAGCCUUGUAUGUCUGGCCGACCAUAAUAUACUUCCUGCAGUACUUGUUGAGGAAGAGUCUGAGAUAAGGUAGUUCAUCAACAAUUGCACCUACACCUCCAAUUUUUUGCUUCCUCUUGAGAGUGCAUCAUUAUACUCUUCCAAUGUGCUAUAAUUUCUGAACUUGGAGCUGUCAAAUUUCAUGUGCUUUAUGAAGACGUCUUUGACAAAGGAACCUUCUUGGUACCCAACAUAUUCUCCAUUCUUGAUGAGAUCAUUGAGGUCUGUUAUAGUAGGUUGGAGCUGUUGCAGUGUCAACAUAGAUGUUAAGCUGGCUGUAUAACUUGAUGUCAGCACCAGAACCACAAAAACCCACACAAUCAGCAAAAAUCUUGUUAAGUUACUUGUUACCCUCUCUCCUGCAACAACCAGCCAUAUAUAUGAUUUGUUGAGACACAAGGAAAAAUCCUAUAUCUUUCGUAUAUAAUAAUAUGCUUUGAGUUAGUGUCUUACUAUGAGCAAAAACGAGAGUUGAGAAGGAAAACCAAAAUAUCAUCCCAACUUGGUUGCGUUUGGGUCCUCGGAACUCUUUGUUUACACGAUGUUCGAGUACCCAAACCACAAAACCAAUGAAAACGAAGAAUGCUCCAGUUGUUAUCCAAAGCUCGCUCUUUAGAGGUUUCAAGAAAAUCCAAGCAUCCCUCCUAUCAUCAUCCCUUACCGGCACAACUACAGAAAUACCUGACUCUAUAAAAGGUAAUGUGAAAUCCACAUACUCUGACCGGCUCGCUAAAAUGGUCACAUCACCUACAACUGCAUCAUAGUCCUGGCUCAAGCAAACAUUGAUUAUUCCAGUAUGUAUAGUUGAUUGUAAUAGCAGAAAAUAGAUAUCGAAGUCCCAAAAAGGGCCAUGUUAGUAAGAUAUAGAGCCAAAGAGGUUUAUUGGAACAGAGAUUAUAUAUUACCUGAGAGGUGAUCUUGUGAACAAGAUCAUCAUAGUCUGGAAGAGUGAGGGGAUCUUGUAUUGGAAAUGGAAUAAAUUCGUAAGGGAGAGCAUAUGGCAAAGAUAGGAUGACUUCUUUGAAGACAUCUGCACAGAAACCAGUUGCUGUUACUGCUUGUGUUUUUGAAUCUCUUUCCACUUUAAUGAGUUGCUCCAGCCCUCCUUUGAGAGGAACUCCAACCCUUAACUUCUUCCCACUUGUGGGCAUUUCCCAGCCUCUUGGAACAAUAGUUGAUUCACCAGGCCAAAAAAUGGCUCCUAGUUGCUUAUUAUUACACUUAACUGCUGUUUUACCAUUCAUCUUCAGUUUACACGAAAUGCCAUCCCUCUUCGUCCAAAAUCCAAUGUUUUUCUCUCCUUUCCCAAUUAUAUUCACAAUCUGAUAUGGGAUUGGCUGCAGUUCUCCAUUGAUGAUACGGAAAUCACCACUUAAUCCUUGUUUUAGCACUGUGUUUCGCAUAGAGUCAAUGAGCAGAGAUCCCACUGCUGACGUUCCAAGUGCAUCUAAGUCUGUUAAGUUCUCUCUGGUGUCUGGUUUCUUUAAUUUUGGGAUAGCAGUAGUGCCUACUUUAUCUACUGCUUCUGCUAAUGAGGUGAUGCUAUCGUAUGCCCAUAGCCCAAAAACAUUGAGUUCUAUUUGGUCCAUGUCUGGAUACUCUUGACGGAAUCUCUUUCUCCAUCUCUUUGUGUAGUUGUUAAGCUGAUUUGAUCUUGGAAUGUAAGGUUUUAUACCAAGAACACCUUGCAUUGAUGACUCGAUCACUGAAUGAUCUACCAAGUCCAGAAGACUCGUUAGCACAUCUGUGAUGAUCCAUGCAUAUCCACUGCUCAUCAUCCCUGCUUCUUUGGCCUUGAGAAAAAGGCGGGAGGCAAGAUAUGGACGCAAGUGCACGACGAACACCCUUGUUUGCUUUGUAUUCAUAUUGUAUAACUCCUUGAGAAUCUGAUCAUCAUUGGCUGACGGAGAAAUAACACUUCUAUAGGAGACUAAAGUGCUGAUUUCCAGUAAGGCAUCAGUCAAAUGUGGAACUAUCCCGAACCCAUAGGGGCUAUCCUCAUAGAUGACCACAACCUCCCUCCAAUCAAAGUUUUUAACAAGUGCUGCAAUGGCCUUAGUCUGGCUGGAAGAAGGAAGUGCUGCUCUGAUGAAGAAGGGAUUUUCCUUGACUGUAAGUAAAGGACUUGUUGCUGGAGAAAUGAUUGGGACUUUUACUCUGUUCCCUAAGUCGAUCACAAAAUCAGUUUGUGUAGACAUUUGUGGCCCAAAGAUAGCUUGUACUUGGACAUCCUUUAGCAAGUAUAUGGCUGCACAUACACAAUCAGACAAUAAGAAUUUACCCAAAGUAAGAGUUUAAUAGAAGUGAAUCAUGGAACUGAAUUUACCAGCAGAUGUUGCUUCAACAUCAUCUUUCUUGGAAUCCUUGAUAUGAGGAACUAUCCUUAUGGCACCGCGACUAGCGUUGGCAUGAUAAUCUUCAAGUGCUAGUAAGAUAGAUAUGUGCAUUACUUUUCCCACAUCUGUUUCCAGAUCAAGAAUUAUACCCACAUCCACCUUUACAGCACUAGUGUUAUUAUCUUCACCUCUUAUUCGAACCACAUAGUGGUAAAAGCUAAUGAUGGAGAUAAGUUGAAAUGAAAAGAAUUAGAAAAGUGGCAUCUUGGAUUAUGCAUUUGAAAAAACUCUGGUAGCAAGUAGUCUGAGAGAUGGGCAACAAGCAGUUGUGCUUGUGCAAGAUAACCACACAUUCAGAAUGACAAUUUUCCUAUAAUUAAUAAGACCAAACUCCAUAAAUGAAGAAAGAAAAGUCAAAGAACAAAUGGUUGAAAAUCAAGUAUUCGUUUGAUUAUUGAAAGUGAGGACUUUUCACAUAUGCUACAACCGCACAGCUAGUAAGCAUAUUACCCCUCAGGUUUGACUAAAUAAAAAUUUGACAAAAUUGAUUGGUACUCAUUCCCCAACACCCAAUUACUUUUUGUGUGUACUAUCUAGAGGAUAUAUUCAAGGGAACUUACAUGAAUUCAACUAAUUUAGGAGUUAAUUACUUAAAUACAUUGUAGUUUGCAAUAUUACGUAUUUUACUAGAUUUUGGUAUGUCCAGAUACAUUCAGAUACAUAUAUGUGAGGUUACUUAGGAUCAAAAUUAGGUGUAAUUUGCUCUAGAUGCAUUGUAUCUAAGUGACUUUGCAUGUAUCUGGGAUACAUAACAAAUCUCGCUCGCCUCUCUCCCAUCUCUCACUCUCCUAUGUAUCUGAUAUUCCAUAUACAUGUGAAUCACACCAGAUACAUACACAUAAAUGUAUCUUAUGUGUAUAUAGUGUGAUUCGCAUGUAUCUGGGAUACAUAACAAAUCCCGCUUGCCUCUUUCCUCAUCUCGUUCCCCUAUCUUCCUAUUUUUGUGUAUCUGAUGGCAAAAAUUCAUGUAGCCAAAUGUAUUUUCCUCAAUAUAUGAUAGGAAACUCUUAAUUAGUGAUAGUAUACGAAAUAUUUUAAAAGUAUAGAAUAUAAUAGUAUAUAUGAUAGUGAAGUAUGUCUAAUGAUAUAGUUUUUCUGUAUUGAAAGGACUUCCCAAAUUUUGGCUGAGGCAUAAAAAGUUGACAAAUUUAGCUCAGUUACAAAUUCCACAAUUAAACCAAUAAGUAGAAGAGACCAUUGUUUUCCAACUUGGACAAGGCUAGAUACGACUAGUAAUCUUUAGUUUACGCGUUUUCAGUUACUAGUCUUUGGACACGUGCGUUGCACGUAUAUCCCAUAUUAUAUGGUUGCAUAAUAUAUGUCUAUAGUUACAAAUAUAUGUAUAAAAAAAAAUUGAUUGUGAUAUAAAUUGGAAAACAUGUAUAAGAUAAGAAAUCAAAACAGAUACCCUCAAAUUUCAAACUAUAAGCAUAAUAAGAAUAUGUAUUUCUAAUGAGUUUAAUCAAUCAUACCUUGCAAUAAUCUCUGCAAUUCAUUGAGAAACUUUCAAUCCAUACAUCAACAUUCAAUCGUGUAUAUAUAAAGAAAACUUGAAAUGCAUAACAACAAUUAUAUCUAUAUUUUUUAAAACACUAUAAAGUCAUUUUUUCUUUUUGCAUUAUAAUAUGGAUUGCACACAAUUUCUAUUAAAAAAAAGAAAGACAAAAUUAGGAAAAAUCGUAUCAAUAAAUUGGAAUGAAAAAUGUAAAAUUGUAAUAAGAGGAAGAGAAGAAAAAUACAGUAGAAUAUAUUACCUAACCAUGAAUAAGGAAGUAUGUUGAGUAAAAGAAGAGUAAUGCAAAAGUGUGAACUGAUAUAUGGAGGAAAUUGACAAAUAUAAUAAUCUAUAUUGAAUAAUGAAAAACAACUCUUCAAUUUCUGCAAAAAUUUUAUAACUACGAGCUCAAAAUAAUAUAAAUUUAUUAAUUUAAUAAAUGACAUAAAUAAAUAAAUAACAUAUAUUGUGUGUAUGUGUAGUUAAUGGGGUAGUGAAAAAGACUCUUUCUGAAAUUAUUUUUAUCUCUUUAAAGUAAUUUUGAACUUUUGAUAUUAGUGCUAUAGAAAAUCAUAUAAAGUCAUAAGCCACUGCAAGUUUUUAUAGUAAUUAUCUUAUUAAAUUAUAUACCUAUUAUUAUUUUUAAUUAUUUAUAAUCAUUCCGAAAAUGUAUAAAUUAAUUUUGAAAAGCUUGUAAAAUGAGAAAUUAUUAUUUCUUAUCAUUAUUUUAGCUAUUAUUAACAUUUAGUAUGACAACAUUUUAAAAAAGCAGCUUCCUUUAAAUAUUAAUUGUUUCUAAAUUAACAUAGCCAAGAAUUUAAAAUGUUGUGACGUUUUGUUUAUCUAAACACGCAGAAUUUUGUUUUUGAACCUGGAACAUGUAAUUAAGCCUUGGGUGAAUUAUAAUUUUAUUUUUACUAUUUAAUUAAUUAAAUAAUUUGUAACAUUUUAAUAUAAUGAAGGGGUAAAAUGGUAACUCAACUUUAAAGGUUGGAGCUUCCCACUUUUAGUAAUAUAUGAUAAAUUGGUCAGUAGUAGUAACCUAGUUUAAUUUGAUAUAAUAACAUUCAUGACAAAAUAAAUUAAAUAUGGCUAAUUAAGAAAAUAUAAUUAAAUAUGAUUAUCUUUAAUGUUAUUUAAAUUUGUAGGCGAUUUUUUUUGUAUUUUAAAAUUAAAAAAAGGCCAAAAAACCCACAAAAAGAGAUAAAUAGGAUUGAAGCCCUUAGAGAGCGUCACCUCACCGUUUUCAUAUUCAACUUUAUUAUUAUAUAUGGAUUUAGAUUUUUGCACAACCUUAAAUUUAAGGACACAUUUAGAUAUUAUAUCAAACAUUCAUUUAUUUGAAGUUGAAAUUACAUUUUACAUGAAAAUUGGAUAUUCCAUAUUCACAUUGAGUAUGAAUCUUUUUGUUUUUUUUACAAAAUUCAAAAUAAAAAAAUACAAAACAUAAACUUAUAGAUCAAAUUUUACAUUUGACAUUUGAAAGUUUUACUUUUCAUUAAACGUUUUGUUAUAGAAUUUGGAAUCGCCCUUUGAAAUUAGUAUUUAUAAAUGAAAAUAUUGAUCUAGUCCUGUUGAAAUUGUGUCUGGCCUAGUACUUUUUCUUAUUAGAGUGAUUAUUGAAUUAGGUUUAAUAUCAAUUUUCUUAAUUAGUUUUGUCAAUUGGCAGUGCUAAGAAGAUGGGAAUUUACGUUAUAUUAAAUUAUCUUUACAUUAAUAAAAAAAGAAAUUGUUGUUAGUAUUAUUUGUAAUAUAAUUAAACAAAAAUAACAAUGGGAAGAAAAUAAUAAGUAAAGAUUACACGUUGUAUUAAAAUAAUAAGUAUUAAAAAUUAUGAUAAAUUUUAUAAUAGUCAUAACAGGAAUUUACGCAAUAAUUACUAUAUUAGAAUACUAGAAAAAUUGAUAAGUUCCUCGACAUCUAAUCAUUGAUUAAAAUUUAAAUUAUUAUUUUCUUCUGCGAAAGUUUAAGAGAUUAAAUUAAUGUUUUAAAAAAUAAUAUUAAUUAUUUUCAAUGAUUAAUAAGAAAAUGUAUAUAGCAAGUACAUGUAUUAUUAUUACAUUAUUUAUAUCCACUCUAUAUUAAAUCAUUUUUCUAUUAUAGUUUGACGCAAAUUUCAGAAUGUAAAGAAUGUUUUGGAUUCGAAAAAUAAAUAUUCAAAAUAUACUAACAUGUCAUUUAAUCUUAUGAUAUUUUACAUUUCAUGUGAAAAAAAAUUAAAUAUUAAUUUUUUAAUAUGAAAAAUAUUAAUUUAUUAAUACAACAUAAAAGUAAUAAAGGACAAUAUAUAAAAAUAUUUGAAGUAUUUGAUAUUUUAUUAAAUUAAAAUAAUUCUAAAUUAAUAUAUAGCCGCGCAACGCGCGGGUACGUAUACUAGUGAAGAACAAUAAUAAAGAAGAAGACAAUUGAGUUAAUAUUUAUUUUUUCCAAGUUUAAUUUAACACAUGACCAGUUUUUAUUGGUCAGUGCUGUCAAAAAGUUGCACCCACGCGCCUAAAAUAGGUGAAAUCACGGACUCAGCCACGUAGGCCAAAAAGUGGUAAACAAUUAACUAAAAAAUAAGUUCAGGGGGGUAAUAGGACUUUAGUAAAGGUUAGGUGUGUCUCAGGGAUUUUGGGCAUAGGCUGGGGGGGUACUUAUGCAUUUUCCCUUAUGUUAAAUAUACCAAAAUGUUUUUUAAUCUUAUGACUUUAAACAUGUCACGUGAAAAACUGAAAUUAAAGUGUUGCCAAAAAAAGAAGGGUCAUUUUUUUUAAACAGACUAAACAGAAAAGUAGAUCUUUUUAAAACGGAAGGGAAGUAAUUGUUAAUGCAAGAGGAAGCUGCUUGAAAAGUUACGUAUAUGAUGUUGAAGUUGUCUAACAUGCAAUGCUGGUCCUAUAAUCUUUCAUUAUUUAUUAUCCAUGACUAUGGGUGGAUAAUAAUAGUUAUCUGCUAUGAUCAUAUAUACCUAGGGGUGGACAUAUUACUUAGAAAACUUAUGUUAGGUAAUUUUGAUUUCUAAAAAUACUAUAUGGUGUAUGCUAUUUGCAGAUGAUAGUCCUAAUCGACCAGACUCGUAAUAGAGUUAAUGUUAAGCUAGAGAAGAUAAUAAUGGCUCCCUUCUCAAAUAUUUCAUUGGUAGAAAUUUGCCUUCCAGAAUUUCAUAAUUGCAUCUGAUCCUUUCUGAUAACUCAAAGGGCAUCUUAAAUUGGUGCGGAAGUUUAAUUUUGACAUGGAACGCAAAUAUAUGCGGAAAAUUAGUAAUUCAAUAAAUAUUUAAUUAUGAAUGCAUAUUACAAAAGUGCAAGGAAUUCAAUUGUAAGAUGUUGAAGGUUAAACCCAUAAAUUCUAAAUACUAGAGACGCCUCUUAAUGCAAAUAUAAUAUGGUUUAACUAUUUUAAACCUGGCUCAUCUCUCUUAAGUUGUCCCUGUAAUGUUUUCAUGAACUGGAGUUCCAGGUUCUGUUGUAGAGAACCCUUCAAGUGCAGGGGAUGCUCCUAAGCCGUCGGAAAUUCUGAUUUCUGGGCUUUGCAAAGGAAGGUGGGGCAAUAUUUCAGUAGAGGCUUCACUUUCUGCAAACAGCAUAGCUGUUUGGAUUUCAUUGCCUUCAGAUGGCUCUUCUGACAUAGAAUUAGAGUUGUCUCUCUCUUUAUCAAAGGCAUUUGCUAUUGCAGAAAGCUUUUGCCAUACUGAAUCAUCAGUGGCUAAGAUUUCUCUAUUCUGAUAAAGGAAGAUGAGGAAGAAUAGGAGAAGAGCGGAGCCCGCUGAUACACCAGCUAUGAGGAAAAGGCCCUUAAAACUAUCGAGCAUGAGGCUAGAUGCUAUAGCCAUUCCAUCUUGCUUUGGACAAUCUGUUUCAUUCCCAAACCAUUUCUGUAUUAUGUUAUUCAUAAACUCUCCUUCCAUCACCUGCAAGACUGCUCUUGAGACGUCAGGUACCAAAGGAGAUCCUUUUGGAAAUGCCUGCCAGAAGUUGGGGGAAAAUAAAAGAUUAAAUUAUUGAGUAGAACAUAAACCAUUCUAAACAAAUGUAAACACGUUCUGAAACAUCACUGGAGUGCAACAUUCUUACGAAUCCAAAGCCAGCAGCCUUGUAUGUCGGACCGACCAUAAUAUACUUCCUGCAAUACUUGUUGAGGAAGAGUCUGAGAUAAGGUAGUUCAUCAACAAUUGCACCAACACCUCCAUUUUUACUUCCUCUUGAGAGGGCAUUACUAUACUCUUCCAAUGUGCUAUAACUUAUGAACUUGGAACUGUCAAACUUCAUGUGCUUCAAGACAUCUUUGACAAAGGAACCUUCUUGGUACCCAACAUAUUCUCCAUUCUUGAUCAGAUCAUUGAGGUCAGUUAUAGAAGGUUGGAGCUGUUGCACUGUCAACAUAGAUGUUAAGUUGGCUGUAUAACUUGAUGUCAGCACCAGAACCACGAAAACCCACACAAUCAGCACAAAUCUUGUGAAGUUACUAGUAACCCUCUCUCCUGAAACAACCAGCCAUAUAUAUGAUUUGUUGAGAAACAAGGAUAAAUCCUAAAGCUUUUUGUAUAUAAUUUGCUUUGUGUUAGAGACUUACUAUGAGCAAAAACGAGAGUUGAGAAGGAAAACCAGAAUAUCAUCCCAACUUGCUUGUGUUUGGGUCCUCGAAACUCUUUGUUUACACGAUGUUCAAGUACCCAAACCACAAAACCAAUGAAGAUGAAGAAUCCUCCUGUUGUUAUCCAAAGCUCGCUCUUUAGAGGUUUCAAGAAAAUCCAAGCAUUCUUUCUAUCAUCAUUCUUUACCGACACAACAGCAGAAAUACCGGACUCUGAAAAAGGUAAUGUGAAAUCCACAUACUUGGCUCGGCUCGCUAAAAUGGUCACAUCACCUACAACUGCAUCAUAUUCCUGGUUCAAGCAAACAACGAUUAUUUUAGUAUAUAUGGUUGAUCUCAGUCAAAGAAGAAAGUAGAUAUGGAAGUCCCGGAAAGGAGCAUGUAAGGUAUUCAGCCAAAAAGGUUAAUUCAAAAAAGAAUUGGAUAUUACCUUUGAGGAGAUCUUGUAAACAAGAUCAUCAUAGUCUUGAGAAGUGGGGCUAACUAUUGGAAAUGGAAUAAAUUCGUAAGGGAUGGCGUAUGGCAAAGAUUGGAUAACUUCUUUGAAGACAUCUGGAAUGAAACCAGUUGCAGUUACUGCUUGUGUUUUGGCAUCUAUUUCCACUUUAAUGAAUUGCUCCAGCCCUCCUUUGACAGGAACUCCAACCCUCAACUUCUUCCCACUUGUGGGUAUUUCCCAGCCUCUCGGAACAAUAAUAGAUUCACCAGGCCAAAUGAUGGCCGCUAGUUGCUCAUUCAUACUCUUAGCUGUUUUACUAUUCAUCUUCAGUUUAUGCGAAAUGCCAUCCUUCUCGGUCCAGAAUCCAAUGCUUCUCUCUCCUUUCCCAAUUAUAUUCACAAUCUCAUAUGUGUAUAGCUGCAAUUCUCCAUCAAUGAUACGGAAUUCACCACUUAGUCCUGUUUUUGGCUUUGUAUUUCGCAUAGAGUCAAGGAGCAGAGAUCCAAAUUCUGAGGUUCCAAGUGCAUCUAAGUCCGUUAAAUUCUCUCUAGUGUCUGCUUUCUUGAAUUUUGGGAUGAUGGUAGUGCCCACUUUUGCUAUUGCUUUUGUUAAUGCGGUGAUGCUAUCAUAUGCCCAUAGCCCGUAAACAUUGAGUUCAACUGGGUCCAUGUCUGGAUACUCUUGACGGAAUCUCUUUCUCCAUCUCCUCGUGUAAUUGUUAAGCUCAUUUGAUCUUGGAAUAUAAGGUUUUAUACCAAGAACACCUUGCAUUGAUGACUCAAUUACUGAAGUAUCUACCAGGUCCAGAAGACUCGUUAGCACAUCUGUGAUGAUCCAUGCAUAUCCACUGUUCAUCAUCCCGGUUUCUUUGGCCUUGAGGAAAAGGCGGGAGGCAAGAUGUUCUUGCAAGUGCACAAUGAACACCCUGGUCUGCAUUGUCUUCAACUUGUAUAGCUCCCUGAGGAUUUGAUCAUCAUUGGCUGAAGGAGAAAUACCACUUCUAUAGGAGACUAAAGUAUUGAUUUCCAGCAAGGCAUCAGUCAAAUAUGGAAGUAUCCCGGUUCCAUAGGGGCUUUCCUCAUAGAUUACUACAACCUCCCUCCAAUUAUAGUUUUUAACAAUUGCUGCAAUGGCUUUAGUCUGACUGGAAGAAGGAAGUGCGCCUCUGAUGAAGAAGGGAUUUUCCUUGACUGAAAGUGAAGGACUAGUUGCUGGAGAUAUUAUAGGAACUUUAACUCUGUUCCCCAAGUCGAUCACAAAAUCAGUUUGUGUAGACAUUUGUGGCCCAAAGAUAGCUUGCACUUGGACAUCCUUUAGCAAGUAUAUGGCUGCACAUACACAAUCAGACUAUAAGAAAUUGUCUGAACAUCUCUUUUUCAAAAUAGGAAAAGUAAUAUCUUAGAGAAAAAGUGAAUCUUUUGAAGCAAAGAGAGAAAAAUAAUCCUAGUUUAACAUAAGUAAAGCUUAGAGCUGAAUUUUACCAGCUGAUGCUGCUUCAACAUCAUCUUUCUUUGAAUCCCUGAUAUGAGGAACUAUCCUUAUGGCACCGCGACUAGUGUUGGCAUGAUAAUCUGCAAGAGCUAGUAAGAUAGAUAUGUGCAUUACUUUUCCCACAUCUGUUUCCAGAUCAAGAAUUAUGCCCACAUCCACCUUUACAGCACUAGUGUUAUUAUCUUCACCUCUUAUUCCAAUUACAUAGUGGCAAAAGCUAAUGAUGGAAACAAGUUGAAUGAAAAUAAUUAGGAAUUUGCAUCUUGGAUUAUGCAUUUGAAAAACUCUUGUAGAAAGUAAUAUGAGUGUUGGGCAAGAAGCAGUUGUGCUUGUGCAAGAUUUAUAACCACCAUUCAGAGAUGUGUUUAAAGGUAUCUUAACUAUAACUUUUCUACAAUUAAAUGAGACCAAACCUCAUAACUGCAGAAAGAAAAGUCAAAGUUUUCAAAGAAUUACAAAUGGUUUAAAAUAUACUAGUUUGAUUAUUAAAGAAAGAGGACUUUUCACACUUGUUAGACCACAAGCUAGUAAAGCCUCCUCAGUUUUGACCAAAUCAAUAAAUGACUAAAUGAACAUAGUGACAAAAUUGAUUUGUACUCAUUCUCCCAAUACCCAAAGAAGUUUUUGUAUUCAUUGGAUGACUAUCUAGAGGCUACUAAAAGGACUUCCCAUAUUUUGGCUAAGUCAUGUUGAAAGUUGAGUGCUAGCUCAGUUACAAAUAAGUAGAAGAGGUCAGUUUCUAUGACUUGGACAUUGGAAAAGGGCAGCUAUGACUAGUAAUCUUUAGUUUACUUAGACGGUUCAGUUUAGAAUUGGUCAGUAGUAUAAAACUUUAUGGUGGUAGAGGCACAACUUGUAGGGUUGUUCCGGGUUAUCGUUAAAAAAUCAAAUCAAACUUGUAGGGUUGUUUGGUUAGGUUUUAAAUUUUGAAAAUCAACACUAUUUGGUUUGGUUUGGUUUUAAAACUGUAAAAAUAACCAAAUUGAACGUGUAAUUAUAAUAAUUGCUUGAUUGAAUCCACAGUAACUUUCAUGUGUAUUGUUCAUGUACUAGGUGUCUGUGUUUAUAUGUCUUCAAAAAAAUUAUUACUUCCAAAACAAAAAAACAAAAAAAAUUGAACCAAACCGACAAUUAUUUUUUUAUUUGGUUUUAGAAUUUAGAAACCGACUAAAUUGAUCUGGCUUUGAUUUUAGCCAAUAAUCAAUCCAAAUCGAACCAUGAACACCUCUAGGCACAAAUAUAACUUGGUAUGUGAAGGAUUACUAUAAUACCUUUCCUUCAACUUUUUUUUAAAAAAAAAAAACCUCUAUUGGUAAAUUUUUCAAAUCAGUUUUUUUUACUCAUGAGCUCUAUUCCUUUCCCUUUUAUAUUUUUUAUAAUAUAAAAUAUAAGAUAAAAUAAAGAAUUUUUUUAAAAAGAAAUGAGAAAAAAAAUGAUGAAGAUGAGGGGUGAGGAGCUAAAGGAGAGAAGAAAGAUAGAACAUAAGAUGAGAAAGGUAGGGUCCCCAUAUUUUCUUUAUCAAAAAGUAAUUUCUUACCUACCAAAGUCAUAUUUAUGCCUCUACCACCACAAAUUUUUUCGUAUUAACUUGCUUGCAAGUUGCAAAACCAAACAAAGCAAGCAUACCCAAAUGGAGAUGGAAUCUUGGAAUGAGGAUGGUUGGGUAUACAUGUAGGUUUCAAUGUCAUUAUCUCAAUAUAUAUAUACUAGAGGGGCAUGGCCCGUGCUAAGCACGGGCCCAACAUAAACAUAGUUAGUCUAUUAUUCUCUAUAUAGGCAAAAUAUUGUUGGAAACUAUUCACUUAUAUAAGUAACUAAUUCAAGUUAUGUGUUUGUUAACAAAGUUUAUUCAUUCAAGCAUCUGCAAACUAUACACCAUACCAAACCACCAAUAAAGAAAAAGACAUGAAAUGUUAACACAAAUUAAACAACUUCAAAAGAAAGAAAGAAAAGAAGAAGAAUCAAGGAGGUGAAAGAACAUUAAAAUUUUGCAGUCUUAUCAGUCAAAUUCUAGUGGUGUCACAACUUUCACAGGGACCAUCAACUCUUCAACUUUUUGUACAUAUUUGCUUUUCAGUGCCAAUAAAUUAUUAUCUGUCGUUCCUGCAAGUUUUUGGAAAAAGUGUAUCAACAAUUGAUGCUAAAGAUCAUAUACUUUGUUUUGUAUUUUAUUUUACCAAGUAAAAAAGUCAGUAAUUGAUAUACCUAAUUUACUGCACUUAAGACAUUCUAGCUUCUAAAUCUAAUAAAACAAUACUAAUGAACACUUUUAAAUAAAUGAAAGAUGAUGGUACCUAAGGGAUGGAGUAAAUGAAUCAUGUGAAGUAAGCAAAUUGAAGUCAAAGUGAAUGUGUCAAUUACGUGGCCAUUAUAUCAAAUAUUUGUCAAUUCUAACCAAAAAGAAAUUGUUAGACAGUAAAUUUGUAAAACUUUAUAGAAAAUGACCUUUUAUUUUGUCUAUUUUGCCCUUUCAUGUGCUCCUUCAUGUCGCUUCCCCUUUCCAUUUUGUCGUCCCUCUCAUCUCAAUUCCCGUUUUGUUGUCCUCUCUUCCCAAUACUAUUUUUAUCCAGCUUGAUCUGGAAAAGAGGUAACUGACAUAUUAGUGUACUUAAUUUGGAACAAAAUCACUUGGAGAACAAUAAAGUAGGUAAUAAACACGAACAAUACUUAGACUCUGAAGUCUUGGUGAUAGUUAAGUAGUAGAAUGAGGAAGAGAUUAUACAAAUCAAUAGAGUUCAAACAACAACAUAUCUUAUCAAAUCUUAUCACUACCUCGUGGAGGUAGAGGUACUCUUUCCGAAAGAUCAAAUCACUGAUCUCGAUAGUUAUUGUUGAGUAGUUAAUACAUAAAUCUCUCCAGAGUAACAAAAAAAGGGCAGAUAGGGAUUAAAAGAAAUUAAGAAAAUGAAAUACGAUGCUACAUUUCUCAAGAGUUAAAAAGAGGGACAACCAAUUUGAGUAGUAGAUUCAGGUUGAUGGUGAUCUACUAUACAACUAAAUGGUGCAACAACUCAAAAUCUCAAGGAAAACAAAUCAAGACAUUCUUGCAAAUUAAAGGCACUAAUAAAACUGCGGCAGAAAUUCUCGUGACUGUGUGGUUCUAUAUGGAAAAUGACUUCCACAUGCUUGGUCUUAGCAAUACGCCAUGUGCACAAGGAAAAAUAUAUUAUAACCACGCGUUUCUUGUUACCGAUAAACAUGACUUAUGAGAAAGUCAGUUUUUAAGAGAAUUCGAAGAACAACAGGAUAAGAAACUACCCUUUCAUUUACUUUCUCAAACACUUAAUAAGGCUUCCGUUUUUUCAACAUUCUUGCAGAGUUGAUUGUGGAGAUCAACAAUUCAUCCAUUUGACCAUUAUCACUUGUAGACACACUAAACUGACAAAGAGUCUUAUAUCAGGGGUGUAUAAAUGAAAACCCCUUCUUUUCAUAUCUAUUUGAAUUGAUUAAACUUGUCGCACAACAAAUAGGAUCAACGUUUUCAGUAAUCAAAGGAAAGAAAAAAAUCUACAUCAAAGGCAUGUUAUAUGAAGUAUGUGAAAUAAGGAUUGUAGAAACGAAGGAGAAAUAAAGAUUUGAUUAGCUUACCAUUCAAAGUAAUUGUAGACAAACAAAGAAGAAGUGAAUAUUUGAUCACCGCUUACCGUUCAACUCAACUGUAGACAAACGAAGAAGAAGUGAUUGACCCUUAAUUUGGAAUCAAUUGAUUUUUUACUAUAUCUCGAUAAAAAAUUUAAUUUAUGUAACUCAUUUCUAUAUAAACAACCAAGAUGCUUAGAACAUACAUAACAUAUUCAAUGUGGCUUACUUCUAUAAAAAUCAUAAAUAAAAUAUAAAGGAAAGCUUCAAACUCUACCUAAUUAGUUCAUAUGAUCAGCAAAAUCCAAAAAACUUGAAAAAAGAAACAAAUUUGUACUCUCUUGCAGAAAUAAGUUUUGUCUUUUGGAAACAACCUCUCUAUCUCCACGAAGUAGGGGUAACAGUCUACGUACACUCUACCUCCUCAAACCUCACUUAUGGGAACUACACUGGGUAUGUUGAUGUUGUUGUUGUUGAAAUAAGCACAAAAGACUGGACUCUCACUAAAACUUCCGUAAAGAUCAAAUUCUUAAGUUUCAUUCUGCAACUAAAAAUCCCGAAAAUGAAGAAUCAGAUUACUCACAUUGACAAAAGUGGGGUAAAAAAUAACUUGAGCUUUGCUAUUCAAAACAUCAACAACUUCUUCAAUCCCAGAAAGUCUUUUAAUUGCCUUUAAAUGCCUAGCACUAUUUUUUUAAGAAGAAAUUACUGAACAACCUUAGUGAAAAUUCCAAAUUCGCCAUUGCAUCCAACCCCCGUCCCAUCCCUGGACUAUCCUACACCAGCUACCCUUAAAUCCUCACCCAUCCAUCCCAUUGAGUUUUGCUGGAUUACAACGGCCCCCAUCCCAUCCCUUGACUAUCCUAUACAAAAUGGAAAAUCUCUUCUCCAAGGAGUUAGGAGACAAUAAUCGACAUAACUAUGUCAUCUUAUAUAGGGACAAAAUGAAUACAAUCUCACCCUGUGGUCUUCGAAUCUAUAGUAGACAAACGGUAAGUAAAGAGAUAUUGUAUAACUGCACCAACUAUUCAUUAUUUCUGAAGUAAUACAGUGAGUGCAUCACAUGUUAAAGAAAUAAAAUUAAGUUUAUUACUUUUAUUCAUGAACAUGUACAACUCUUGAGAUGAACUUUAAUUUGUCAGUAAACUAUAAAAUAGAGGUAAUUUGUAAAGGCUUAAGCCUAUUGGAUUAGAUUAUGUUCUCCGUGGGGGCAGUUUUUCUUCAACUCCAAAACUGUAUACGUCACUUCUGGUGGUUAUAUGAUUUACAUAUGAGAGGCGACAAUUAGAAGCUGAGAAAAGAAAUGAUCUCAGGUUACAUGACAGAACAAACCAAGUAAUGUUACACUCCCAAUUUCUUUCAGGACACAUAGUAUUGAUAUUUGCGAGCAUGAAAGACUGAAGGAUUAAACAGAGGAGAUAACUCUUAAGAGAGACCUCAUCAAGAACUUAAGAAAAUUUGUGUGAUAAUUUAACAAAUUUAGCGAGGCUAAUUGAUGAAGGAAGUCUAUUCACACUAUAUUCAUUUUAGUGCACUUAUUGACUAAAUGUUUCCCAAGUUCGAAUGUGAGGCCUCUAUUUGAGGAUGUAAUAAAACAACAUUUACCAUUAGAACUAAUUGAGCAGCUUGUGUUAACCCUCUGUAUUUACCUGACGAAUAUGCUUUAAGGUGGAGGAAUUUUUUGCAGUAGUCUUCUAUUAAAACAUCAUUUAAGCUACCUAAAUGAAUGGACAACAUGUAGUUUUUCGACGCAGAAACAAAAAAUCUACCUAACAAAGAGACAGAUAUAUCAAAGAAGCCACAGGUCGAUAAUCAGAGUGUCCUAAAGAGUUACAUUUACAAAAGUUGAGGAGACUGGACACGCUGUCAAAUUAACUCAACACUGAUGCUGCAUUGAAAGUGAGAGUCCAUGUAAUGUGGAUACAAUUCAUUAAGUACACACAAAACAGUCAGCAACUAAUUUCAGUGAUGUGCAACAAAAUUCAUAUAACAUAGCCACCAAGUUGACCAUAAAAUCCAUCAAAACACAUUAAUGAGGAAUUCGUCUUACUUCAGUUUUGAAUUCCCCCGGCUUUUAAGUAUACAAGCCACAUUUUUACUGAAUUUUCUCUUCAAGUGCAGUAAAGUAGCUCAAAGAACAGAAAGCAAAGUUACAACUGACAACUACAUCGAGAAAGAGGCUACUAUGGACUGUCAAUUUUUACAUGUGAAUCCAAAAAUUAAGCUCGCAUAACAACGGGUAAUAUACCAAAUUCAUAUUAAAUUUUAGAUCAAACAACAUCAUUUAUCAUGCCAAAACAGUCUAGCUGUGCAACUUUUAAGCAAUUUGGAUACACUUAUAUCUAAAAAUUGGCUAAACUAUUGAUAAACGUACUAUCUAAUGCUGGAAAUAUGACAUAGUACAGUGAAUAUUGAUCAAUUUACUACCAUCGCUGCAUUUUGAUACUCCUUGAACAGAGAAACGGAUGGAAAUGGACCAGCCAAGCUACGCCUAAUUACACCAUCUCUAUCUUUUAACUACUUUUGUACUUGGCUUCCGAUUGACGCUCAGCUCAGGUAAAGCACAAGAACAAUUAGGAGUAAAUUGAAAUUGUAUAUUACCAGUGGUCAUAUACUCGGGAGUAGCACAACUGAAUUGUAUGGACAAAUCAUAAGAGGGCAACAGAAAUAUUGUUAAAACUUGUAGAAGACUAAAUUUUAAAGUAGUUUUAGAUACAGCAGCCAGCAAAAUGUUAGAUGAUUUGAAAUCCUGAUACAUAAUUUUAGCUUCUGGGCUGUGGAGAUAUGUCAGUCCUUUAGCUGCCUUGAGAGUAACCUUCAUUCGGAGAUUCUAUGAUAGCGGUUGGAAAUAAGCACUCCUCUGUUCAAGAUGUACCAAAGGUUUAUUCAAUGACAUUACACGGAUAAUAUUAGUGGAUGUCCUCAAAUUAGAUGUGGAUUCAAGAUUUCAAGUUUAUGGAUUUCUAUAAUGAACUAAGUUCAUAGUAAAAUAAAUUUCUUAUACAUGGUUUAGAAAAAACAAUUGGGUCCCCAUGAAUCUACAUAUCAUAUUGUGGAUCUGUUCUUGCGUUAAAUAUGCAGUUAUGGUUUCAUACAAACUAUACUUACUUCUGAAUAGAUGAUUUUCCAAACUUCCCCUCGGCAUGAAUUCGCACACCAGAAUCUUGUGUUCAUCUUCUAACCUGGCUCAGGUAAGCAAUUUUCGCCUGUAGUUUAAGUGUACAGAGAAAACAGUUAAUCAACUUAUCAAGAUCAAGAAUUAUAGGAAAGCUUCAAUGUCUUUGAUAAAACAAUCAUCGGAUAUUUUAAAGGGAAGAGUUUAUAUACCAAUCAUUCCUUGUGACCUUGAAAGCUUUCUUCAAGAAUUUCACUUUGACUUUGAGGAGUCAACUGAGCCGAUAAAUAUGAAUGUGAUCAUGGAAAUGAUGCCUAAUUAAUAUGUAUCUUUGUAUGUCUUCUGUCUGUUCCUAGUAAAAGUUGCACCAGUUUACAUCAAUUAAGUAAUAAACUGAAUAAGUUAUAACAUGACUAUCUUAUAGCUUAUUUCAAACUGAACACGUACAUCUUCAUUACGUUUUUUAAAAUUUAGUAGAAAUAGAAAUGUAUAAUGGUACCUGAUAAGCAAAUCAAAUUCGUGACUAUCUUCUUGGCUCAUUCGUUAUGGAUGAACUUGAAGUUUCAUAAUGAACUUACUUUCAGCAGGGUUAUAAGCAUCCAGAUCAUAAAAUUCUUCAGGGGCAAAUGGUAUAGGAACAAAUCUCUGAGCCAAUUUUGUAAUUCCCUCAAGGCGGUAACUAUUGAUUGAAAUCUGCAUUUUUCCAUAGCUUUCAGAUAAAUGAAUAAGAUGUGUUAAAAAUGGAGAUUGUUUGCUAUUUAUAUACCGAAACUUGCACUCUAUGAAAAAUAAAUAACUUAUCUUACAAAGAAUUCUUCAUGUUCAAAGAAAGUCUCCCGUGUCAUAUAAGCAAAUUAUAGUUUAUGUUUAUCUACAUAUACAUAUGUUAGUAUUCAACAUUAUAAUUCAACUGCAUAUCCAACUGGAAAAUUAAAUCAACUAAAGAGGGAGAAAUACUGGACUUUCCACAUAUGAGAAAGGGUUGUGAAAAUAGGGUAACUCUAAUAGCUAAUCCUUCCAGUUGAAAGUGUUUUUGAGAAAAAAAAUCAAAUUAAGUUCGAUGUACCUGAUAACGCUCAAUGUUCCCUGCAUGGCAUCUUCUCAAUUUCUUUCCUUUCCUUUCUUCUCCAAGUACUUGUAAAGUCCUAUUUAUGAAAAAUUAACAAAUUGAAAAAACACCCACAUCAAGAACAAAAGCGGAAGAAACACUACAUUUCAAUAAUCAAAAGCACAAAAAAUUGAAAUACAAAGCGGGACAACGGAGAAGAAGAGGAGUAAACGACCAUAACAACAACAUCCAAUCAAGUUUAGAUUCAGUACAUGCAACAUUACCACAACCUAAACACCAAAAUUGAUGAAUAAAAAAAAGUCGGAACUCAUCAAAUGAAAAAAUCGACAAAACAGAUCUAAAGUCAAAAGGCAAAACAAAAAUGAGAAGAAAGAAGGAAGGGAAGAAGCAGUGCAUACCUAGGAAGGUAUGCAAUUUAACUGAGAAUUUCAUAUGAGGGCUUGCAAAACCCUUCCAUUUUGCAGAGCAUUUUUUCUUGGGACAGAGAAUGGAUGCAGAGGAACAGGGAUAUAUCACAUAGCUAGGACACGUGUUUCACAGAUGAAUAUACAGAUACACAUUAGUUAGAAAGCAAUGAGUCAAAUUACCAAAUUAACCCUAUUGGUACAAUUAACUUGAAUUUUGGUACAACUUGUAUAUGUUGUGUUAGUCCGAACUCUUGUUGGCUGUAGAAGGACACGUGUAGCCCACGUGUUUAUUCAAUAGUGAAUAGGGCUUAAUGGUACAGUACAAUUUUUUAUACUAUUGGUACAACUUUGUAGAGCUGUGUUGGUACUCUUCUUGUUGGCUUAUAUAUAAGGGUAAAGAGCUGUGUUGGUACUCUUCUUGUUGGCUUAUAUAUAAGGGUAAAGAGCUGUGUUGGUACUCUUCUUGUUGGCUUAUAUAUAAGGGUAAAGAGCUGUGUUGGUACUCUUCUUGUUGGCUUAUAUAUAAGGGUAAAGAGCUGUGUUGGUACUCUUCUUGUUGGCUUAUAUAUAAGGGUAAUAUAUAUACUCCCUCCGUCCCAAUUUAUGUGGCACCCUUUAUUUAUAGUCUGUUCCAAAAAACAAUGUCAUCUUACUAUAAUUAGAAACAAGGGAAAAGACUCAAAUAUGUUAUUGAAAUUUGAGAAAAGACUCAUUUAUGUCGUCCGUUAAAAGUUUGGUUCAUCUAUGUCAUUUUCGUUUGAGAAAAAACUCAUCCAUAUCAUUAGUUGUAAACUAAAAAUAAUUUUGGUUUUGUAAGAUCAUUUUAUACACGUGGUCAAUUAUGAUUUGGCCAUGUCAUCAAUUAAAUCAUUUCUAUAGAAGAGAAAAGGUUCAAAUAUGUCAUCGAACUUUGAGAAAAACUCAUUUAUAACAUCCGUUAAAAGUUUGUCUCAUCUAUGCUAUUUCAGUUAAUAAAUAAUGGCAUGAAUGAGGUUUUUCUCAAAUGAAAAUGGCAUAGAUGAGCCAAUUUUUUAACGAAUGACAUAUAUGACCUUUCUCAAAGUUCGAUGGCAUAUUUGAGUUUUUUCACUAGAAACAAUUUCAUUUAAAAUUCACUGUUAUCCUUAAUGAAAUUAUUUACAAACACACAAAUAUCUAAGGAUUGUUUUAAAUCACAAGUUUAAAAGUCUUUUUUUAAAAAAAUAAAUAUAUCGUGUCAAGUUAAACAAUGCCACAUAAAAUGAGACGGAGAGAGUAAUUGUUAAUGCAAGAGGAAGCUGCUCGGGAAGUUACGUGUAUGAUGUUGAAGUUAUUUGACAUGCAAUUGAGGUGAUCCUAUAAUCUUCCAGUAGUUAUGACUAGUAAAAUCACUCAAUUUAUAAAAUAAUACUUAAAAUAUAUGAGUCAUUAAAACUAAAACACUAUAUUAUCUUACAUAUAAGAUUACAUAUAACAAACAUUAAUAAUGUAAGUAAAAAAAAAUUUGAAUAUGUUAACAAAUUUUUGAAUUUUUUCCUCAGACAUAUAUCACAAUUGUAAAAUCUAUGCAACUUAAAUGUGUUCUUGUUCUUACGAAACGCCUUUGUGUAUAUAUAUUCUUAUUUUAUUCUCUCUUUUUUUCCUUUUAAUGAUGAUUAAAUAACCAUUAAUUUAUUAUUUCCUGAAUAAUUCAUUCAUUAGAUGUUCUUGAGUUUAUGUGAUAAUGACAAAUAAUAGUAUAGAUUCUUUUAAGGAAUUUUUUACUGUACCUUCAACAAUUUCAUGAUCAGUAGAGAAAACUUGCAUGAAUACUCAAUUAACAUGUGUUGUUUAAUCUGUACUAACAAAUACUUAAAACAAUAACUUUGUAGAAACAUAAACACAAGUUUAAAACAUGUACUCAAAAACAAUAAUUAAUAACAUAAGCAUAAAUUAAUGAUUGUAAAAAAAUAUACCAGGAUCUGUAAUAAUAGGAUGAAACAGAAAGGAAAAAACUGUACACGAAUAUUUAAUUGUGCAGAUUAAGAAGAAGAAGUUCAAAAUUUUCGUUUUUUUAAAAUGAGAGGAAAUCACUCUAUUUAUAGCUAGACAACAAAGGGUAGUGUGAACAAAUGUUUAUUGUGCCUUAUCGAAAAGGUCACAACUCUUUGGAAAAGUUACAACUGUUUGGAAAGGUCAUAACCUUUCAUAAAAGACACAACUUUUCAUAAAAGUCGCAACUCUACAUAGAAGUUACAACUUUUCAUAAAAGUCGCAACUGUUCAUAUAAGUCGCAACUUUUCAUAAAAGUCACAACUUUUCAUUAAAGUAGCAAAUUUUUAUGAAAGGGGAAGGAUAGUUUUGUAAAUAUAUUAAUUAAAAAAGGAAUCAUGGUUUGUGAUGGCGCCACGUAGGCAGGCCUAGGAUUCUCUUUUAUAUAUAUAUAUGAUAUAUGAUAUGAUUAUUUACUGUGGUCGUUUUCUGAUAUGAUCACAAUAAGAUAUAACCGUCUAUUAUCUUUUAAACUUGUUUUUCUUUUUAGUUUGCAAUAUAUUUUGGAUUGGUAACAUUAGUAGUAUUAAAUUGUUAACAGCACUAGUUUGCAAUAUUUUUGGUUUCUACAAACAUUAUUUGCACAUAUUGAAAGAAAUAUAUAUGAUAUGGUUUCAUUGAAUUAUAUCCUCUACAUAAGCAGUGAAGACAAACAAAGUACUAAUGUUAUUUAAAUUGUCUCUAAAAUUUUGAUGAUUUAACAAACUUUGAGAUCUAACGAACGACCAGAUUCCAAGAGAGAUUGAGAGUUCCGUUUAUGAAAAAAACAGCGGUCUAAAAGCUGCAACACCUGCUGUGGUUGGUGCACGUAUUUUGCAGCAGACAUUCAGCCAAUAGCAGGGCAUUGCUUCAAGAGUUUGGGUCCAUCCUAUAAUACACCUCUUUGACAUUGACACAAACUCAAGUUUUUGCAAUAUAAAAAUUCACAACAGCAAAAGUCAUUCUCUCAGGGAAAUAUUUCUCGAUAAAUGAUAGAGUUAUCAUCGUUCUUAUGUGUUUUUAGGGCUUAUAUUUCUGUGCUUAUACUUGUAAGAUCUAUUCCUACGUUAUAAAGGAAUUAGAUCAUUUGAAGUUUUUUCUGAGUAUUCCGAGUUAUAUCUAGAGUUAGUUAUGUUGUAUUCUUGAAUUCUAGAUCAACUAUAGCUAGUUGAUUUAGUGGGUCAUAGAGUUAUUGCUUAGUUUUUGAGUAACAGAGUUGUUACUAUGAGGGGAAGGGAUUAAGAGUUUAAUUCCUAGGUUACAAGAGUUUGUAAUCUGAAGCUUUGCACUUUUGAUGAUAAUGGAGUUGGGUUAAAUCCUGUGAGACAGACCGUGGUUUUUUCCUCCCUUGAACAAGGGGCUUUCCACGUAAAACUCUUGUAUUUGUUUUAAUUUGUGUUAUUUAUUUUCCACACAAUUUUUCUUUCAAGGGACUUGGUCCAUUGACCGUUAGUGGACGCAUACAUUCUAUGAGUACUAAUAAGAUUGAAAAAGAAACCACUAAGAAAAAGUUAGGGUUAAAUCCAUCAAAUGGAAUCCUGGAGCCACCUCUUGAUGCUAAUAUUCUGGCCAAGAUCAGUAACAAAGAUAUAAUGUAAUCUGGUUUAACUAACCCUAAAGCUAGCUCAUCUCUGUGCAAUCUCAUAUAGGGCCCUAUUCAGGUGUGUCACAAUUAUGGUAGUAGCUAUAUGUGUCAUCUUUCUUCAAUUGUGUCUGUAAUGGUUUCAUGAACUGGAGUUCCAGGUUCUGUUGUAGAGAACCCUUCAGCAGCAGGGGAUGCUCCUAGUCCGUCGGAAAUUCUGAUUUCUGGGAUUUGCAAAGGAAGGUCAGGCAAUAUCUCAGGAGAAGCUUCACUUGCUGCGAGCAAUUUAGGUGCAUUGCUUUCAGAUGGCUUUUCUGACAUAGAAUUAGAGUUGUCUUUCUCUUCAUCAAAGACUUUUGCAAUUGCUGUAAGCUUCUGCCAUAUUGAAUCAUCAGUGGCUAAGAUUUCUCUAUUCUGAUUAAGGAAGUUGAGGAAGAAUAGGAGAAGAGCGAAGCCUGCUGAUACACCAGCUAUGAGGAAAAGUCCCUUAAACCUAUCUAACGUGAGGCUAUCAGAUGUUAUAGCCGUUUCAUCUUUCUGUGGACAAUCUGUUUCAUUCCCAAACCAUUUCUGUAUUAUGUUAUUCAUGAACUCUCCUUCCAUCACCUUCAAGACUGCUCUUGAGACGUCAGGUACCAAAGGAGAUCCUUUUGGAAAUGCCUGCAAUAAAAGAUUAGAUGAUUGAGUAAACAACAAAUCAUUCUAAAUAUAUGUUAACAGUGUCUGAAACAUCAGUGGAGUGUACAAUCUUACAAACCCAAAACCGGCAGCCUUGUAUGUCUGGCCGACCAUAACAUACUUCCUGCAGUACUUGUUGAGGAAGAGUCUGAGAUAAGGUAGUUCAUCAACAAUUGCACCUACACCUCCAUUUUUGCUUCCUCUUGAGAGGGCUUCAUCAUAUUCUUUCAAUGUGAUAUAACUUCUGAACUUGGAGCUGUCAAAUUUCAUGCGCUUUAUGAAGACAUCUUUGACAAAGGAACCUUCUUGGUACCCAACAUAUUCUCCAUUCUUGAUGAGAUCAUUGAGGUCUGUUAUAGUAGGUUGGAGCUGUUGCAGUGUCAACAUAGAUGUUAAGCUGGCUGUAUAACUUGAUGUCAGCACCAGAACCACAAAAACCCACACAAUCAGCAAAAAUCUUGUUAAGUUACUUGUUACCCUCUCUCCUGCAACAACCAGCCAUAACAUAUUCUCCAUUCUUGAUGAGAUCAUUGAGGUCUGUUAUAGUAGGUUGAAGCUGUUGCACUGUUAACAUAGAUGUUAAGCUGGCUGUAUAACUUGAUGUCAGCACCAGAACCACAAAAACCCACACAAUCAGCAAAAAUCUUGUUAAGUUACUUGUUACCCUCUCGGCUCGCUAAAAUGGUCACAUCACCUACAACUGCAUCAUAGUCCUGGCUCAAGCAAACAUUGAUUAUUCCAGUAUGUAUAGUUGAUUGUAAUAGCAGAAAAUAGAUAUCGAAGUCCCAAAAAGGACCAUGUUAGUAAGAUAUAGAGCCAAAGAGGUUUAUUGGAACAGAGAUUAUAUAUUACCUGAGAAGUGAUCUUGUGAACAAGAUCAUCAUAGUAUGGAAGAGUGAGGGGAUCUUGUAUUGGAGAUGGAAUAAAUUCGUAAGGGAGAGCAUAUGGCAAAGAUAGGAUGACUUCUUUGAAGACAUCUGCACAGAAACCAGUUGCUGUUACUGCUUGUGUUUUUGAAUCUCUUUCCACUUUAAUGAGUUGCUCCAGCCCUCCUUUGAGAGGAACUCCAACCCUUAACUUCUUCCCACUUGUGGGCAUUUCCCAGCCUCUUGGAACAAUAGUUGAUUCACCAGGCCAAAAAAUGGUUCCUAGUUGCUCAUUAUUACACUUAACUGCUGUUUUACCACUGUUUUACUAUUCAUCUUCAGUUUAUGCGAAAUGCCAUCCUUCUCUGUCCAGAAUCCAACGCUUCUCUCUCCUUUCCCAAUUAUAUUCACAAUCUGAUAUGGGAUUGGCUGCAGUUCUCCAUUGAUGAUACGGAAAUCACCACUUAAUCCUUGUUUUAGCACUGUGUUUCGCAUAGAGUCAAUGAGCAGAGAUCCCACUGCUGACGUUCCAAGUGCAUCUAAGUCUGUUAAGUUCUCUCUGGUGUCUGGUUUCUUUAAUUUUGGGAUAGCAGUAGUGCCCACUUUAUCUAUUGCUUCUGCUAAUGAGGUGAUGCUAUCGUAUGCCCAUAGCCCGAAAACAUUGAGUUCUAUUUGGUCCAUGUCUGGAUACUCUUGACGGAAUCUCUUUCUCCAUCUUUUCGUGUAAUUGUUAAGCUGAUUUGAUCUUGGAAUAUAAGGUUUUAUACCAAGAACACCUUGCAUUGAUGACUCAAUGACUGAAUGAUCUACUGAGUCCAGAAGACUCGUUAGCACAUCUGUGAUGAUCCAUGCAUAUCCACUGCUCAUCAUCCCGGCUUCUUUGGCCUUGAGAAAAAGGCGGGAGGCAAGAUAUGGUCGCAAGUGCACGACGAACACCCUGGUCUGCUUUGUAUUCAUAUUGUAUAACUCCUUGAGAAUUUGAUCAUCAUUGGCUGACGGAGAAAUAACACUUCUAUAGGAGACUAAAGUGCUGAUUUCCAGUAAGGCAUCAGUCAAAUGUGGAACUAUCCCGAACCCAUAGGGGCUAUCCUCAUAGAUGACCACAACCUCUCUCCAAUCAAAUUUUUUAACAAGUGCUGCAAUGGCCUUAGUCUGGCUGGAAGAAGGCAGUGCUGCUCUGAUGAAGAAGGGAUUUUCCUUGACUGUAAGUAAAGGACUUGUUGCUGGAGAAAUUAUAGGGACUUUUGUUCUGUUCCCUAAGUCAAUCACAAAAUCAGUUUGUGUUGACAUUUGUGGCCCAAAAAUAGCUUGUACUUGGACAUCCUUUAGCAAGUAUAUGGCUGCACAUACACAAUCAGACAAUAAGAAUUUACCCAAAGUAAGAGUUUAAUAGAAGUGAAUCAUGGAACUGAAUUUACCAGCAGAUGUUGCUUCAACAUCAUCUUUCUUGGAAUCCUUGAUAUGAGGAACUAUCCUUAUGGCACCGCGACUAGUGUUGGCAUGAUAAUCUUCAAGUGCUAGUAAGAUAGAUAUGUGCAUUACUUUUCCCUACAUCUGUUUCCUAGAUCAAGAAUUAUACCCACAUCCACCUUUACAGCACUAGUGUUAUUAUCUUCACCUCUUAUUGGAAUUACAUAGUGGUAAAAGCUAAUGAUGGAGAUAAGUUGAAUGAAAAGAAUUAGAAAGUGGCAUCUUGGAUUAUGCAUUUGAAAAAACUCUGGUAGCAAGUAGUCUGAGAGAUGGGCAACAAGCAGUUGUGCUUGUGCAAGAUAACCACACAUUCAGAAUGAUAAAUUUUCCUAUAAUUAAUAAGACCAAACUCCAUAAAUGCAGAAACAAAAGUCAAAGAACAAAUGGUUGAAAAUCAAGUAUUCGUUUGAUUAUUGAAAGUGAGGACUUUUCACAUAUGCUACAACCGCACAGCUAGUAAGCAUACUACCCCUCAGUUUUGACUAAAUAAAAAAUUGGCAAAAUUGAUUGGUACUCAUUCCCCCAAUACCCAAUAACUUUUUGUGUGUACUAUCUAGAGGAUAUAUUCAAGGGAACUUACAUGAAUUCAACUAAUUUAGAAGUUAAUUACUUGAAUACAUUGUAGUUUGCAAUAUUACGUAUUUUACUAGAUUUUGGUAUGUCCAGAUACAUAUAUGUGAGGUUACUUAGAAUCAAAAUUAGGUGUAAUUUGCUCUAGAUGCAUUGUAUCUAAGUGACUUUGCAUGUAUCUGGGAUACAUAACAAAUCUCGCUCGCCUCUCUCCCAUCUCUCACUCUCCUAUGUAUCUGAUAUUCCAUAUACAUGUGAAUCACACCAGAUACAUACACAUAAAUGUAUCUUAUGUGUAUAUAGUGUGAUUCGCAUGUAUCUGGGAUACAUAACAAAUCCCGCUUGCCUCUUUUCUCAUCUCGUUCCCCUAUCUCCCUAUUUUUGUGUAUCUAAUGGCAAAAAUACAUGUAGCCAAAUGUAUUUUCCUCAAUAUAUGAUAGGAAACUCUUAAUUAGUGAUAGUAUACGAAAUAUUUUAAAAGUAUAGAAUAUAAUAGUAUAUAUGAUAGUGAAGUAUGUCUAAUGAUAUAGUUUUUCUGUAUUGAAAGGACUUCCCAAAUUUUGGCUGAGGCAUAAAAAGUUGACAAAUUUAGCUCAGUUACAAAUUCCACAAUUAAACCAAUAAGUAGAAGAGACCAUUGUUUUCCAACUUGGACAAGGCUAGAUACGACUAGUAAUCUUUAGUUUACGCUUUUUCGGUUACUAGUUUUUGGACACGUGCGUUGCACGUAUAUCCCAUAUUAUAUGGUUGCAUAAUAUAUGUCUAUAGUUACAAAUAUAUGUAUAAAAAAAAAUUGAUUGUGAUAUAAAUUGGAAAACAUGUAUAAGAUAAGAAAUCAAAACAGAUACCCUCAAAUUUCAAACUAUAAGCAUAAUAAGAAUAUGUAUUUCUAAUGAGUUUAAUCAAUCAUACCUUGCAAUAAUCUCUGCAAUUCAUUGAGAAACUUUCAAUCCAUACAUCAACAUUCAAUCGUGUAUAUAUAAAGAAAACUUGAAAUGCAUAACAACAAUUAUAUCUAUAUUUUUUAAAACACUAUAAAGUCAUUUUUUCUUUUUGCAUUAUAAUAUGGAUUGCACACAAUUUCUAUUAAAAAAAAGAAAGACAAAAUUAGGAAAAAUCGUAUCAAUAAAUUGGAAUGAAAAAUGUAAAAUUGUAAUAAGAGGAAGAGAAGAAAAAUCAGUAGAAUAUAUUUACCUAACCAUGAAUAAGGAAGUAUGUUGAGUAAAAGAAGAGUAAUGCAAAAGUGUGANNNNNNNNNNNNNNNNNNNNNNNNNNNNNNNNNNNNNNNNNNNGUAUGUGUAGUUAAUGGGGUAGUGAAAAAGACUCUUUCUGAAAUUAUUUUUAUCUCUUUAAAGUAAUUUUGAAAUUUUAAUAUUAGUGCUAUAGAAAAUCAUAUAAAGUCAUAAGCCACUGCAAGUUUUUAUAGUAAUUAUCUUAUUAAAUUAUAUACCUAUUAUUUAUUUUUAAUUAUUUAUAAUCAUUCCGAAAAUGUAUAAAUUAAUUUUGAAAAGCUUGUAAAAUGAGAAAUUAUUAUUUCUUAUCAUUAUUUUAGCUAUUAUUAACAUUUAGUAUGACAACAUUUUAAAAAAGCACCUUCCUUUAAAUAUUAAUUGUUUCUUAAUUAACGUAGCCAAGAAUUUAAAUUGUUGUGACGUUUUGUUUAUCUAAACACGCAGAAUUUUGUUUUUGAACCUGGAACAUGUAAUUAAGCCUUGGGUGAAUUAUAAUUUUAUUUUUACUAUUUAAUUAAUUAAAUAAUUUAUAACAUUUUAAUAUAAUGAAGGGGUAAAAUGGUAAUUCAACUUUAAAGGUUGGAGCUUCCCACUUUUAGUAAUAUAUAUGAUAAAUUGGUCAGUAGUAGAACCUAGUUUAAUUUGAUACGGAGUUAAAGAAAAUAAACAUGACUUUUCAAUCUUGUGGUCUUAAAUUAAAGUUAUGUUAAAUAUACCAAAAUGGUUUUUAAUCUUAUGACUUUAAACAUGUCACGUAAAAAGCUGAAAUUAAAGUGUUGCCAAAAAAAGAAGGGUCAUUUUUUUUAAACAGACUAAACAGAAAAGUAGAUCAUUCUUUUUAAAACGGAAGGGAAGUAAUUGUUAAUGCAAGAGGAAGCUGCUUGAGAAGUUACGUAUAUGAUGUUGAAGUUGUCAAACAUGCAAUGCUGGUCCUAUAAUCUUUCAUUAUUUAUUAUCCAUGACUAUGGGUGGAUAAUAAUAGUUAUCUGCUAUGAUCAUAUAUACCUAGGGGUGGACAUAUUACUUAGAAAACUUAUGUUAGGUAAUUUUGAUUUCUAAAAAUACUAUAUGGUGUAUGCUAUUUGCAGAUGAUAGUCCUAAUCGACCAGACUCGUAAUAGAGUUAAUGUUAAGCUAGAGAAGAUAAUAAUGGCUCCUUUCUCAAAUAUUUCAUUGGUAGAAAUUUGUCUUCCAGAAUUUCAUAAUUGCAUCUGGUCCUUUCUGAUAACUCACAGGGCUUCUUAAAUUGGUGCGGAAGUUUAAUUUUGACAUGGAACGCAAAUAUAUGCUGAAAAUUAGUAAUUCAAUAAAUAUUUAAUUUUGAAUGCAUAUUACAAAAGUGCAAGGAAUUCAAUUGUAAGAUGUUGAAGGUUAAACCCAUAAAUUCUAUAUACUAAAGACGCCUCUUAAUGCAAAUAUAAUAUGGUUUAACUAUUUUAAACCUGGCUUAUCUCUCUUAAGUUAUCCCUGUAAUGUUUUCAUGAACUGGAGUUCCAGGUUCUGUUGUAGAGAACCCUUCAAGUGCAGGGGAUGCUCCUAAGCCGUCGGAAAUUCUGAUUUCUGGGCUUUGCAAAGGAAGGUGGGGCAAUAUUUCAGUAGAAGCUUCACUUUCUGCAAACAGUGUAGCUGUUUGGAUUUCAUUGCCUUCAGAUGGCUCUUCUGACAUAGAAUUAGAGUUGUCUCUCUCUUUAUCAAAGGCAUUUGCUAUUGCAGAAAGCUUUUGCCAUACUGAAUCAUCAGUGGCUAAGAUUUCUCUAUUCUGAUAAAGGAAGAUGAGGAAGAAUAGGAGAAGAGCGGAGCCUGCUGAUACACCAGCUAUGAGGAAAAGGCCCAUAAAACUAUCUAGUGUGAGGCUAGAUGCUAUAGCCAUUCCAUCUUGCUUUGGACAAUCUGUUUCAUUCCCAAACCAUUUCUGUAUUAUGUUAUUCAUAAACUCUCCUUCCAUCACCUGCAAGACUGCUCUUGAGACGUCAG